ensembl:snRNA U6 U6 spliceosomal RNA
GUGUCCACUUCCGCAGCACCUACACUAAAAUUAGGAUGAUACACAGAAGGCUGGUGUGGCCGCUGAGCAAGAAUGACAUGCAAAGGUGUGCAGCGUUUCGUAUUUUU